GACGAGCGCUGGCGGCGUGCUUAACACAUGCAAGUCGAACGGUGAAGCGCCUUCCUUUUUGGUGGGUGUGGAUGAGUGGCGAACGGGCGAGUAACACGUGAGUAACCUGCCCCCUUCUUCUGGAUAACCGCAUGAAAGUGUGGCUAAUACGGGAUAUUCUGGGUCUGUCGCAUGAUGGGUCUGGGAAAGAUAUUGUUUCGGUGGGGGAUGGGCUCGCGGCCUAUCAGCUUGUUGGUGGGGUGAUGGCCUACCAAGGCGGUGACGGGUAGCCGGCCUGAGAGGGUGGACGGUCACACUGGGACUGAGACACGGCCCAGACUCCUACGGGAGGCAGCAGUGGGGAAUAUUGCACAAUGGGCGCAAGCCUGAUGCAGCGACGCCGCGUGAGGGAUGGAGGCCUUCGGGUUGUGAACCUCUUUCGCCAGUGAAGCAGGCCUGCCUCGUUUGUGGGUGGGUUGACGGUAGCUGGAUAAGAAGCGCCGGCUAACUACGUG
rnacentral:rRNA from 1 species